GACGGAGGGGGCUAGCGUUGUUCGGAAUGACUGGGCGUAAAGGGCGCGUAGGCGGUUUGAUAAGUGAGGCGUGAAAGCCCUGGGCUUAACCCAGGAGGUGCGUUUCAUACUGUCAGACUUGAGUGCGAGAGAGGAAAGCGGAAUUCCUAGUGUAGAGGUGAAAUUCGUAGAUAUUAGGAAGAACACCAGAGGCGAAGGCGGCUUUCUGGCUCGUAACUGACGCUGAGGCGCGAAAGCGUGGGGAGCAAACAGG
rnacentral:rRNA from 1 species